GUUAAUAGGCUAAUCUUAAAAUACAUUACAAAUUAUGAAUAUAUUUUUAUAGCAGACUUAAAAGUGGCUAUCAGUGCACUUCGCCCAGCCCGAAUCAUUUUAUUUUUCUAUAAUCUUCUUAUAUUAGUGAUAUGAUUACAAACCUUCCAUACAAGAGUUCAAAGUUCAAACAGCAAGCUACCUUAACAAAGCCUCUCAAAUACCUAGAUCAAGCUUUAUUUAUUUAAAACAGCAGCGGAUCUAGAAUAUUUAUUUGAAAAUACCUAAUAUUACUACACCAUUUUGUAAAGAUGCUGCUAAUAUAGUAAAAAUGUAAAAGUUUCAAUUAUAUAUAUUUUGAGUCAAGAUAACGAGUAUCUGAAGCUCGCAUUUACUCUCUAAAUGAUAUCUCUCCCCGUGUCCAAGAUCAUUGGUGUUGAUGGGGUGAUUGAUGGUGGCGUAGAUGGUGUGAGACAGGAGGUCAGACAACCGAUACCACUAGUCGCACAACCUUGAUAGCAAGUAACCGAUGGAGGUGGCGGGCCGCAACUGAUGACACAAGUGAUUGCUUGUUGGCCACAAUUAAUGAUACAUAGCCCAAUAUUUUGGCUUUGGGCAUGGUGGAUUAUGGUACAUGCAACAAGGAGAAAAACCAAAGAUAGAGAAUGAAUUGGUGAAGUUUUUGCAAGAAUGGCCAUUGUAGAAUAUGAAUUUGAAGUUGCAUUAUUAUUCGUGAGUUUAUAUAAAGGACCAUGUAAACUCUUGUUUGAUGCCUU
rnacentral:lncRNA from 1 species